UGGGGAAUAUUGGACAAUGGGCGCAAGCCUGAUCCAGCCAUGCCGCGUGAGUGAUGAAGGCCCUAGGGUUGUAAAGCUCUUUCACCGGUGAAGAUAAUGACGGUAACCGGAGAAGAAGCCCCGGCUAACUUCGUGCCAGCAGCCGCGGUAAUACGAAGGGGGCUAGCGUUGUUCGGAUUUACUGGGCGUAAAGCGCACGUAGGCGGACUAUUAAGUCAGGGGUGAAAUCCCGGGGCUCAACCCCGGAACUGCCUUUGAUACUGGUAGUCUUAAGUUCGAGAGAGGUGAGUGGAAUUCCGAGUGUAGAGGUGAAAUUCGUAGAUAUUCGGAGGAACACCAGUGGCGAAGGCGGCUCACUGGCUCGAUACUGACGCUGAGGUGCGAAAGCGUGGGGAGCAAACAGG
rnacentral:rRNA from 1 species